GAUGAAAACGCAGCGAAAUGCGAUAAGUAGUGUGAAUUGCAGAAUUCAGUGAAUCAUCGAAUCUUUGAACGCACAUUGCGCCCCUUGGUAUUCCAUGGGGCAUGCCUGUUCGAGCGUCAUUUGUACCUUCAAGCUUUGCUUGGUGUUGGGUGUUUGUCUCGCCUUUGCGUGUAGACUCGCCUUAAAAUAAUUGGCAGCCGGCGUAUUGAUUUCGGAGCGCAGUACAUCUCGCGCUUUGCACUCAUAACGACAGCGUCCAAAAGUACAUUUUACACUCUUGACCUCGGAUCAGGUAGGGAUACCCGCUGAACUUAAGCAUAUCAAUAAGCGGAGGA
rnacentral:misc_RNA from 1 species